AUCAAUUGCUGGGUCACAUAUAUACAUACAUACUCGUACACAUUGUCAAACACCAACCUACCCCGACUAAUUGCAUCUCCUUCCCAUUAUUUUACCAAAUCAAAGACAAUAUUUCUGAGCUUUCUUCAUCACCUUAAAAAGCAAGCUGGAGCAAUCUAUAUAUAGCCCUCCAUAAAUUAAACCACCAACACAAACACCGCCUUCAAGCACAUACGAAACCAGUUUCCAAAUCAAAAAUCCAUGGCUGCUCCACCACUCUACAUAAUCAUGAUGAUAGGGUCACUGCUACUUCUCCCUUCCCCUUCCCAUUCUUCUGACCCAGACCCAUUACAGGACUUCUGUGUUGGAGACUUACAAGCUUCCCCAUCCCUCAAUGGCUUCCCCUGCAAAUCCGCCUCCAACACAACCUUCGACGACUUCUUCUACUCCGGGCUGAGCAAGGAGGCCAGCACAACCAACGCCUUCGGAGCUACGGUGACUGCAGCCAACGUGCUCGUGUUCCCAGGCCUAAACACGCUCGGAAUCUCCAUGAACCGGGUGGACUUCGGCCCGGGGGGGCUUAACCCUCCCCACUCGCACCCGCGGGCCACCGAGACCGGGGUGGUCAUCGAGGGGAAGGUGCUUGUUGGGUUUGUGACCACAGGGAAUGUGUACUACUUCAAGGUUUUGGGCGUUGGGGAGAUGUUUGUGAUACCAAGAGGGCUUGUGCACUUUCAGAAGAAUGUUGGGGUGGGGAAGGCUCUUAUCUUGACAGCUUUCAAUAGCCAGUUGCCAGGGGUUGUGGUUGUCGCCCCAACUCUGUUCGGCUCAAAGCCUUCUAUUCCUAAUGACGUGUUGACUUUGGCCUUCCAGGCUGAGGAGAGCGUGGUUAACAGCAUCAAGUCCAAGUUUGGUUAAUUCUUCAGCUCGCUAAUCUGGAAUAGACAUGGCACCAGGAGGUAGUCAUCACUUACUUCAGUCUAGACUAUCGACGACAUCAUCCCGCAAGGAUAAUGGGUCAUCCUCGAGAGCAACUGAGCACGUCGGUGCUGAUGCGGCACCAUCUGAGCCAUCAGGACCUCAGCCCGACAUGGAUCCAUCAGUUAGGGAUCAAGCCUAGGCAUCGACCUCUAUGACAUAGACGAGUUCAGGCCGUGGUGCAGCGAAGAACGUUGUGCUAAAGAAGCACCUGGAGAGGACUGGGCGGCGGAUCCGUAUCAACGUUCCUCCAGGCUUUACAGCCCCGCUUGAUGAUUGGUGCACAACCUGGUCAUGGGAGCUUGGCACUGUAUGUCGCAAAUAUGCUCUAGUCACCUACUUCACCUGGCCAAAGGUGAAAGAGGCUCAGCGCUUGGUUCUACAUGAGCGCAUCUUGACCAUGUGAAAAAGGCGGUGAACACGCAGUUGUGCUCUCAUUUUAAGACCUAUCGCAGCAAAAUGUGCAACCAUUUUAGGGAGAUGGGAGAUGAGGUAGAAGCGCACCCAUACGAUAAGAUCUCCCUAGAGGAUUGGCGGGUGGUGUGUCGCCAUUUUCGCGAUCCUAACUAUCAUGUGAUAUGUUUCUAUUAAUUACAAUAACUACUUUUUCAUAUUUAUGUGAAUAAUAAAAAGUCAUUACAUCUAUUUUGUAGGCUAUCUGUGAAAAAAAAUACUGCGAAUCACAACAAACUAGAUACGACGCAUUGCGGUGGCUUGAAAUUAUUCAUCAAUCAUCGAAAG